rnacentral:rRNA from 1 species
AUUGAACGCUGGCGGCAUGCCUUACACAUGCAAGUCGAACGGCAGCACGGGAGCAAUCCUGGUGGCGAGUGGCGAACGGGUGAGUAAUAUAUCGGAACGUGCCCGGUCGUGGGGGAUAACGUAGCGAAAGCUACGCUAAUACCGCAUACGAUCUACGGAUGAAAGCGGGGGAUCGCAAGACCUCGCGCGAUUGGAGCGGCCGAUAUCAGAUUAGGUAGUUGGUGAGGUAAAGGCUCACCAAGCCGACGAUCUGUAGCUGGUCUGAGAGGACGACCAGCCACACUGGGACUGAGACACGGCCCAGACUCCUACGGGAGGCAGCAGUGGGGGAAUAUUGGACAAUGGGCGCAAGCCUGAUCCAGCCAUGCCGCGUGUGUGAAGAAGGCCUCGGUUGUAAG